UACGAAGGGGGCUAGCGUUGCUCGGAAUUACUGGGCGUAAAGCGCACGUAGGCGGCUCUUUAAGUCGGGGGUGAAAUCCUGGAGCUCAACUCCAGAACUGCCUUUGAUACUGAGGAUCUUGAGUUCGGGAGAGGUGAGUGGAACUGCGAGUGUAGAGGUGAAAUUCGUAGAUAUUCGCAAGAACACCAGUGGCGAAGGCGGCUCACUGGCCCGAUACUGACGCUGAGGCACGAAAGCGUGGGAAGCAAACAGG
rnacentral:rRNA from 1 species